CAAAGUGUUAGGAUUAUAGGUGUAAGUCACCAUGCCCAGUCUGCAUUUACUUUAAUUACAUUUUGUGUCCCUUUAGCUUUAUCCUGGUGGACAUGCAAGAUAGAUGUAACUUUGGUAUUUGCCCGAAAUAUUGAUGUUGGUCAAGGGGAAGCACUUGAACAGAGUUCAUGGUACCAGAUGUGAAGUAAAGUCUACAGACAUUGGAAAUGUUGUGGGACUCAGGGAAAAAGUCCUAUACCAGGAGGUCUUGAGAAUUCACAAGAGGCAGGUAAGAUAAGGCCUCCAAGGCCAGACUAAGGAGUAUAAAGGUCUCUCUGAUUGACCCUCCUAAUAAGCACCCCACGCAAGUCCUCAUAGGAUAUGAGUUAUAAUGGAGCAGGGGAGUGUGCAGAGCUUGGAGGAGCUUGGAAAGUAAAGCACUGGGAGAAGAGAUUGGCUUGCAUAGCCUUGUUCAAAAUGUACCCUUCUGAACCAAGAGACGGCUUAUAACACAUAUCAUAGUGGGUUCCCCCAUAUCCAUUCCACCCAAGAUGAUAAAUCUAAGCUAAUCAUGGUAAUCUCAUCCCCUUUGCUACUAGUUAUUACUAGGCAUGGGCAGAACUACACCAAUUUCAGCUGAUAAAACCUCAGCAGGUGCUGGAUAUUAACAAAAGGGAAGGGAGUCCUCAUGGCUGCUGGUGGCCGUCUUAGAACCAGGAGUAAGUCGUAUGCUGAAGCCAAGGCUAAGGACAGCAGAGCAGAGAGAAAAAGGAACCCGGUCCUUGAAGACAUUUUCUUACUAGCAGGUACCAAAUUCGGUUUCUUCCAAUUGGCAUCAGAAGAAUCCAACUGAAGCCUGAACAACAGAUCGAGUUUCCAAAAAAGCAAGGAAAGAAAGAAAGAAGAAAGAAAAGAAAGAAAGAAAAAGA